rnacentral:rRNA from 1 species
GAGUUUGAUCGUGGCUCAGAUUGAACGCUGGCGGCAUGCCUUACACAUGCAAGUCGAGCGGCAGCAUGAUCUAGCUUGCUAGAUUGAUGGCGAGUGGCGAACGGGUGAGUAAUACAUCGGAACGUGCCCUGUAGUGGGGGAUAACUAGUCGAAAGAUUAGCUAAUACCGCAUACGACCUGAGGGUGAAAGUGGGGAACCGCAAGGCCUCAUGCUAUAGGAGCGGCCGAUGUCUGAUUAGCUAGUUGGUGGGGUAAAGGCCCACCAAGGCGACGAUCAGUAGCUGGUCUGAGAGGACGAUCAGCCACACUGGGACUGAGACACGGCCCAGACUCCUACGGGAGGCAGCAGUGGGGAAUUUUGGACAAUGGGCGAAAGCCUGAUCCAGCAAUGCCGCGUGUGUGAAGAAGGCCUCGGUUGUAAG